GUCACUAGGGUGACCUGGAGGACAGUGGCAUGUAUGUUCAGCACUGCUUUGUGCCCUGACAAUAGUUGGCAAGCCUAUGUGUGGUGCUUUACUUUCUUUCCUGGUGGAGAGGAGUUUUACACAGCGGGGGUCGCCGCGGUGUGCUGGGCGAUCUAGUCUUGUCGCAAUAGAGCCACUUUCGAGUUCAAGCCGCUUAAAAACCCAUUUGGAUGUGUUUUUUCUGCCUGUGCUCUAAUGUAUUAUUGGGCAGGACUGCUGAAGCAAGAUGACGCGGCUACCAUGAGGGACGGGGCAAAGAUGCUGAAGGAGAACGCGUCGAUGAUGAUGAGAAUCUGCGUGGCGAAUCAUGAAGAAUCGGCUCGCUGA
rnacentral:rRNA from 1 species